rnacentral:sRNA from 1 species
UGGUUGGCAAGUUCUCCAUCAGGCUCGUGCCGAACAUGACUCCUGAAGUCGUCAGCGAGCAGGUCACAAGCUACCUAACUAAGAAGUUUGCUGAACUGCGCAGCCCCAACGAGUUCAAAGUGUACAUGGGCCACGGCGGGAAGCCCUGGGUCUCCGACUUCAGUCACCCUCAUUACGUGGCUGGGAGAAGAGCCAUGAGGACAGGUUGGACACUCUCCUUGGGGAUGAUGCCGGGCAGGGCCCGUUGCACGUCUGAUAGGACUCUGUUAUAUCGUGUGGGCGCAUAGCUAUGUCGGCGGCACUGCUGUAUCACGGGGGUGCGUACUUAAGUCAGCAUGAGGACAGCCAGUGUGUGCGAUGAGCCUGGACCCCUGGCGGACCUCGAACACGGGUUUGCUGUCCCAGGGCCUUGCACAGGGUC